rnacentral:rRNA from 1 species
AGCGGUAGGAGAGCGUCGUAACCGGGCUGAAGUCGUACCGUAAGGAGCGGUGGACUGGUUACGAGUGAGAAUGUUGGCAUCAGUAGCGAGAUGUGGGUGAGAAUCCCACAGGCCGAAAACCUAAGGUUUCCUCAGGAAGGUUCGUCCGCUGAGGGUUAGUCGGGACCUAAGCCGAGGCCGAAAGGCGUAGGUGAUGGACAACUGGUUGAUAUUCCAGUACCACUACCAUCGUUAUUAUCGAUGGCGUGACGCAGGAGGAUAGUGUGUGCUAGCUAUUGGAUGCUAGUCUAAGCGUUUAGGCAGUGAGAGUAGGCAAAUCCGCUCUCAU